AGAGGAGUGCUGCUGAUUCAAUUUUGCGGGAUUUGCAAGAGAAUCCUGAUAUGUGGCUUCAAGUUAUGCAUAUCUUGCAGAAUACUCAAAAUCUCAAUACCAAGUUCUUUGCAUUGCAGGUUCUUGAAGGUGUGAUUAAAUAUAGAUGGAAUGCAUUACCUGCUGAGCAGCGAGACGGGAUGAAGAAUUUCAUCUCUGAUAUCAUUGUAUAGCUUUCUAGCAAUGAGGCCUCAUUUCGGGCGGAAAGGUUGUAUGUCAGCAAACUCAACAUUAUAUUAGUUCAGAUUUUGAAGCACGAGUGGCCAGCAAGAUGGCGAAGCUUUAUUCCUGAUCUUGUCUCAGCAGCUAAAACUAGUGAAACAAUCUGUGAGAAUUGCAUGGCUAUAUUGAAAGUAAGUCUAUCUCACUUUUCAU